CCGGAGGAAGGUGGGGAUGACGUCAAGGUCAGCAUGGCCUUUAUGUCCAGGGCUACACACACGCUACAAUGGUCAGCACAAUAGGUAAGCCAAGCCGCGAGGUGGAGCCAAUCCUCAAAGACUGGCCUCAGUUCAGAUCGCAGGCUGCAACCCGCCUGCGUGAAGCCGGAGUUGCUAGUAACCGCAGGUCAGCUAUACUGCGGUGAAUACGUUCCCGGGGCUU
rnacentral:rRNA from 1 species